rnacentral:misc_RNA from 1 species
UAAUAAGUGUUUUAUGGCACUUUUUAAAUCCAUAUCCACCUUGUGUGCAAUGUCAGGUCGAUUUCUUUUUCUUCAGAAGGAUCGACCAGACAUCAACUUAUUCUAUUGAACUUUGUCUGAAAACUAUUAUGAAUAAACUAAUUCAAAAUA